rnacentral:misc_RNA from 1 species
UACGUAGGGGGCAAGCGUUGUCCGGAAUUAUUGGGCGUAAAGCGAGCGCAGGCGGUUUCUUAAGUCCGAUGUGAAAGCCCACGGCUCAACCGUGGAGGGUCAUUGGAAACUGGGAGACUUGAGUGCAGGAGAGGAGAGCGGAAUUCCUGGUGUAGCGGUGAAAUGCGUAGAGAUCAGGAGGAACACCCGUGGCGAAGGCGGCUCUCUGGCCUGUAACUGACGCUGAGGCUCGAAAGCGUGGGGAGCGAACAGG